rnacentral:rRNA from 1 species
UACGUAGGAGACGAGCGUUGUCCGGAAUUACUGGGCGUAAAGCGCGUGUAGGCGGAUGAGCAAGUCUGCUGUGAAAGCUCCUGGCUUAACCGGGAGUGGUCGGUGGAAACUGCUCGUCUGGAGGACGGUAGAGGUAGGUAGAAUUCCCGGUGUAGUGGUGAAAUGCGUAGAGAUCGGGAGGAACACCAGUGGCGAAAGCGGCCGGCUGGGCCUGUUCUGACACUGAGGCGCGAAAGCGUGGGGAGCGAACAGG